rnacentral:rRNA from 1 species
UUCGUAGCUGGUCUGUUAAGUCUCUGGGGAAAUCUUCCGGCUUAACCGGAAGGCGUCUCAGGGAUACUGGCAGACUAGGGACCGGGAGAGGUGAGAGGUACUCCAGGGGUAGGAGUGAAAUCCUGUAAUCCUUGGGGGACCACCUGUGGCGAAGGCGUCUCACCAGAACGGCUCCGACAGUGAGGGACGAAAGCUGGGGGAGCAAACCC